rnacentral:misc_RNA from 1 species
AUGCUUUUAUUUACCCAAGAUAGCUCAUGUAUAUGCAUUUCUAAAUCUGGGACAAUUUUAUAUGUAUGUUCAGGAUUUGGGUACUCUUAAUUUUUCAGUAUUCCAAAAGCAUCUAGUCAAUACUGUAAGAAUAUGCAUGGUAUGUGGUAAGGGUUCACACAAGUCAAAUCAACAAGAUGCUGCCUGUUUCACUAAAUUCUGUAUGAAGUUACCCAAAGUAUUUUAUCUUGCAGUAUGUAGUGUAUUUUUCUACAUGCAGGACACACUGUGACACAUGCAAAUAAAGAGAAACUUAAAGUC